AACGAACGCUGGCGGCAUGCCUAACACAUGCAAGUCGAACGAGACCUUCGGGUCUAGUGGCGCACGGGUGCGUAACGCGUGGGAACCUGCCCUUAGGUUCGGAAUAACUCCCCGAAAGGGGUGCUAAUACCGGAUAAUGUCUUCGGACCAAGGAUUUAUCGCCUUUGAAUGGGCCCCCGUUGGAUUAGCUAGUUGGUAGGGUAAAAGCCUACCAAGGCGACGAUCCAUAGCUGGUCUGAGAGGAUGAUCAGCCACACUGGGACUGAGACACGGCCCAGACUCCUACGGGAGGCAGCAGUGGGGAAUAUUGGACAAUGGGCGAAAGCCUGAUCCAGCAAUGCCGCGUGAGUGAUGAAGGCCUUAGGGUUGUAAAGCUCUUUUACCCGGGAUGAUAAUGACAGUACCGGGAGAAUAAGCUCCGGCUAACUCCGUG
rnacentral:rRNA from 1 species